GAACGUCCGCGGAAGCAGCAGCAACGAUAGAGAAAAAGAGAUAAGUAACUAAAGAAAAAUAUUUUUAUUUUCUGUCCAGCUCAGUCAGAGAGACUUUUUAAGUGUUUUCCACCAUCCUCAGUGGUGAGAAACAGACUUUUAUAGUGAAUUUGGACUGUGGUGAGUUGCUCAGCUCAGACAACGUGGAAAAAGAUCUUUCCUCCCCAUUGUCGCCGCCAUAGUCGUAUUCCAGGACAGUAGUCAUCCCUUCAGCUCGGAGGAGUGCUUGGUUUGUUGUUGUUGGACUUUCUGGGAAGGAGAGGUCUGAGUGGGAAGAAGAUUUCUGCCGCCGAGGGUCCAUGGUCGUCCUGCCUGCCGUCUACCCGCCAUCAGCUCAUCAUCAUCCCGCCCGCGUACUACGCUAGGACCGAGGUGCACUUCUUUGGAUUCUUAUUGCCUGUACUAGGACACUGUGGAUACAGGGGCCGGUGUGCGGGCAAACAAGACCUCAAAGAGUCCGACCACACAGCUGGAAGAUGGUGCAACAGCACAGCCCGGUGGCUAAGAAAGUGAUCCGGAUCAUUUGGCUCAGCUCAACAAGAAGAACUCUUCUCUUUUGGCUCUUUACUCAGGCUCCCGGAGGAAAUGUCUUGAUGUCCUAUCUGCCUGCCUGAAUGAUGAUAUCUAAAUCUCAGAGCAGCUGCUGUGCCAAAAACAAUGAAGAGAGUCAGGAGGAAGAGGAUCAGGAGGCAGUCAGAGACAUGGCGGGACACUCAGGAGACUUUCAUAAGACCAAUUCAAAGAAGGGGGCAGAUGGGAGAACUGGACAGAAUUAAAAAUGCUUACUGCACUUUAGCUUGAGUGAAGUUCAGCAGGGGGAAGUGAAAUUUGUCUGGCCAGAGGACAGGUUAUGAGAGCAGGGCGUAGCAAAUGUUGAGACAGCCAAAGAAAAACUUUUUUAAUGCCUUAAGUUUGAUUAUUAUGGCUGCUCAUUUUGCAGAGUUUGCUCAUCCAUUCUACAUGUGUUUUGUGGACUUGGAGAAGGCUUACGAUUGUGACCUUUGGGGGUCAUGUGGGGGGCUACUGUGGGAAUAUGGGGUUCCAGGACCGCUGCAGGGAGCCAUCAGGACUCUGUAUAGCCAAAGUGAGAGUUCACAUUCUCUGCACAAAGUCAGACAUGUUGCGUGUUGGUCUCAGCUAGUGCUGAUCCUUGUCACCAAUUCUGUUUUUGUGUUUCAUGGCAGGAUCCUAAGGUGCAGUAGGGCUGAGAAGGGUAUCCGGUUUGGCAACCUCAGAAAUGUAUCUUUAAUGUUUGCAGAUGAUGUUCUGUUGGCUUCCUCAUCUGGGGACCUGCAACAGACACUGGGGCUGUUAUGAAAAAAGCACCUCCAAGUCCAAGCCCAUGGUUCUCUGCUGGAAAAUGGUGGAUUGCUUGGGAGUGAGUCUUUGCCCUUAGGGAAGGAGUUCAAGUAUCUCAUGGUCUUGUUACUGAGUGAGGUAGAUUGGACUGUGAGAUUGACAGGCAGCAUCAGCAGUGCUGCAGGGAGCUGAGCUGGGAGGCAAAGCUCUCAAUUUACCAGUCAACCUAUGUUCCAACCCUAACCUAUGGUCAUUAACUAUGUGUAAUAACCAAAACAAUUAGACUGUGGAUACAACCAGUCAAAAUGAAAUCCCUUAGGAGGGUUUCUAGGCUCAGCCCUAGAGAUAAGGUGAGGAUCUCGGACAUCUGGAGGGCUCUUGAAGUAGAGCCACUGCUCCCUUGCAAUCAAAGGAGCCAGUUGAAAUGGUUUGGGAAUCUGAUCAGGAUGCCUCCUGGUCGUCUCCCUGUAGAGGUCUUCUGGGCAUGUCCAACUCAGAGGAG